AUUGUGGUGAAUGAUCCCAAAUAAACUACAAUAAGUCUGAAUAAAUAGAGAGGAAAUGGGAAGAAGGGGAUGGAGGAAGAAAGAGAGAUGGAGAAAGAGGAUGGAGAAAGAGAGGUGUAGAGAGAGAUGAAAGGUAUAGAGAGAGAGGUGUAGAAAGAGAGAUGAAAGAGAGGGAGAAAGGUGUAGAGAGAGGUGUAGAGAGCGAGAUGAAAGAGAGGGAGAAAGGUGUAGAGAGAGGUGUAGAGAGAGGUGCAGAAAGAGAGAUGAAAGAGAGGGAGAAAGGUGUAAAGAGAGAGGUGUAGAGAGAGAGGUGUAGAGAGAGAGGUGUAGAGAGAGAGAUGAAAGAGAGGGAGAAAGGUGUAGAGAGAGGUGUAGAAAGAGAGAUGAAAGAGAAAGAG
ensembl:lncRNA